CUUGAUUUAUAACCACCUAGUGGUCAGCUAGAGUUGGUUACCACAACAAUCUCCCUUUUCUAGCUAACUAUAUUCCCGUUAGACCCAUGUCUCUGAUCCGCCUUCCACGGCGUGACCCUAGUUUGAAUUUGAACUUACCAACGGCCCAGCCCAGGCGCCCAUGGUCCUCACUUUGCCUAGGAGCCACUACUCCCCUCGCCAGAAAUGCAAUAGGAACUGAUGAGGUUGAGGCCUCAUUCGUUGAACCCCCACACAUCAAGAUGCACCUAAGCACCAAGCACAUACUCUUCAUCCAAGGUUCUCAUUCUACACAAGGCCCGAUGAUCGAGAGAACUUGCAACCCGAGCUUCUCGCUUACAAAAUUGAGCUUUAAAACAUGGCAUAUUGAUCCCUCAGUUUCGACCACGGGCCAAGUGCUCCCACCCAAAAUACUCAGCAAUACCUUGAAGGGUGCACUCUCGCAAAUAUCGGAGGGGACCUGCCAGUGAUACAGUGCACUGCUUCAAUGGAAAUGCAGUUUUGGGGCUCCACCAACCUCCAAUUGCUCGAGGGUGUCCCGGAGGGACAUGCCUCUGAGGAGCUAAAGUAGAGGUGGGCAGAGGCCAGGCAGAUGGUGAAUCUUUUUACUAAGUAACCAUUCCAAUAAUUUGUUGAAUCUAGGGAUUAGAGAGAAUAAUUGUGGGGCUUUGAAUUACAGGAAAGCAGUGACGAUUUCAAAGAAGAUGAGGGAUUCAAGGGCGAAGAGAUUGUUUGGGAGCUUUGGGGUGAUGGUGGCCAAGUAGAACCCUAAGAAGAAGUCUUUGGAUGCGCUGAUUAGGAGGCUUCAAGACGCCACCUAGGGCUUGCCAUGGAUGGUGUUUGAGCUUGUUUGGUAUUUUAGGAGAGCGAAAAUGAAAAUGCUCUGCUUAUUCACAAAGAGAAGGGGUUUCCUAUGGGUGUGGUAUGUGAGAAAAUGCUAGUUUUGUAGAGAGAAAGAACCUAGGCUUACAAAGAUGCCACCUAAGGUGUGUGGCUUGAGAUUUUUCUGGUUUUUAGAGAAAGAAAAUGAAAAUUCUCUCAUCAUUCAGGAAGACAAGGGGUUUCCACGGGUGUGGCAUGAGAGAAAAGGCUCGUGUUUUGAACAAGUGAGAGAAGGCCGCACUUUCAUCUGAAAAAAUUCAAGUCUUACUUGAAUUGUUUUGGAUGGUAACUUUUACCUUGAUA